AGCAAGCUAGCAGGGCCUGAAGAACCUCCACUAAGCUCGACUCCUCCCGACCAUGUGUUUGAUGACGUCACGCGAUUUACCUUUGGCACGGCUAAACAGUUCUACUGCUUCGACGCUGUACCGUCAAUCCGAACGUUAUCGGCUGCUUUCUGUCGUUCGCGCCUCGUCGACAUCUUGCUUGUGUCCAACUGCAGCUAGCAACGUGCGCGUUCAGUUACGUCACGCCUCGUGUGUGUCUCCUGCUUUACUGCGCACCCUCGACCGCCGCCAUCUUGACGCCGACGGCUGCUCUAAAGUCGACCCAGCGGAGACGAAAGGACGUCCAACAUACAUCGUCUUCCUGGCGCUGCGUCGGCCCUUACGGAAGGUGUGUGUGCGUGUUUCAAGCGUGUGCCACGUUGUAGCAGUCAAUCAUAACUGUGCUUGUUGAUACAGUAACGGUACGUGUGUGACACUGUGCAUUCAUGUUGCCUGUACACAUGAAGACAGCUAACAUGAAGUUGUUUUCAAAAGACUUCCACUGGACAAUGUUGUACGUUUAUUAAGUAUAGUAUACACUACAAUCCUCAGUGUAGCAUCUAGUAUACACAUAUGUAGAAUGCAGUGCUAUCCUCAAUGGACUAUCUAUAUACACAUAUAGCAAUCGAUCUAAAGCUGGCUGAAUGUUCAAAAGAAGCAUCUUUUUGUAAAGUCUUCUACAAACAGAAAACAAGAUGGUAGUCACUGAUCCUGCUGACACUUCGCAAAUUUAUUACAAAUUAAUAUGUACUGUAAUAUAUAUAUGUACAGGGGUAACACCAGAAAUUUCCGGGGGGAAUCACAUUUCACAUUUAGCAGCAAAUUUUACAAACUGGUAUCAAUUAAUUAAAAAACCUAAAGCAAAUGACUGUAUAAGUAUUCAUCCCCUUCAGGUCAGUAAUUGGCAGAUGCAACUUUUUCCACAAUGUUACAUAUGGACUGCCGUGAAGGAUAGUAGUCAUGUAUACAGUAUUCAUUUACUGGUCAUGCACAGUUAUGUAGUCAUUUGGACAGUAUUAUUCAUGUGUUAUAGUCAUGUAUACACUAGUAGUCAUGUACAUUAUACAGUAUGUAUGCUCUACUAGUCAUGAAUAAUGGUCAUGUAUAGUUAUGUAUUGGGACAAUUAACGAGGCUUGAUUUGUCAAAUCUUCAGCCUCUUAACUCGUUUGUUAGCAUCACCCGUUAGCAUCAGGUUAGAGUCAUCACCCGGCUAAUAAAUGCUAUUCUUCAAUUACCAAUUAGCUUCAUUAGUUUUGUGAGCAUAAUUACACAAGUACACAAUGUGAAAGUUUGUGAAGGGGUGCACAAGAAGUCCAUCCUUCCAUGUCCAUCCUUGCAUCUUAUAGAAUAAAAUCAAAAUAAGCGCACUUUUGAUGUCAUUCAUUGUCCAUGAAGCAGGGAGUAGCGGGAUGCUAAGGACAAAGGACUGAUUGCACACAAUGACCUUGGCAGAGAUUACAGACGUUCUUGUCAGGUGUUGUUAGGAUGAGCCUUGAGCAUAUUCACCAGUUACAAGUUGUAAACACAAUCUUGGCCAAAGUUCAAAGGUCAUCCCAUCAGCUGACCCCCCCCCACUUGAGUCCAAUCAGGCGUGUUCACACAUGAAUAACUACGUCAUCGUCCUCCUCCAGUCUAGCUCCAUCUCCCCCCUCCCCCCCACAUGGGUCCACUAUGUACCUGUAGUCUCCUCCUCCGAUGGCCAACGCAGCGCCAGAUGGCGUCAUCAGCCAAUCCUCCUCCUCCUGCUCUUCAUUUAUACUGCGCUUCCAAGGGGUGCUCCACCUGUCCCCCUCCUGUGAACCCUGGGCAACGCCUCCCACACUGCCCACCUCCGUCUCCUCCCCUUCCACAUUGACGUAGUGUAAGGAAUCCUUGUGGGAGCCGGACGGGGACAAGCUUAGCCACAGUGCCUCCAACAGGCCAACCAGAUGCUGGAAAGUGGGCCGACAUUUGGGGACGGGACUCCAGCAGCUGUGCAUGAUGUCAUAGCUGAGGGUCACAUGACAACAUCCAGCAGGUUUCUUCAGGCGUUCUCCUCGGAUCAAAUACUCGUAGAUCUCAGAGUUCUCCACACCCGGAUACGGAGUCUGACCCCGGGUCAUGACCUCCCACAUGGUCACCUGACUCAGGCGUGAGGAAGUGUGUCCAGGGGGAGAAAGGCGACCCCCCCAAUUCAUUUAGACAGGAAAUUCUGACACUGUAGUUGGAAUGACUGUUGAGUCCAGAGAGGACAUGUUGGUGAGGAGGAACCACAACCUCUUCAUCCGGGAGUUCCCGCCUCCCAGGAGACAGCAAUAACAGCUGUGGAUGAGGAGAAACCAUUAGCACAACUCUCACCACUCUGUAGGUGCACAUGUGCUACCUGGAUGACGCAGGUGUACAAGUUGGAAUGACCCGUGAAUCCUGGUUGCCAGGACAACAUGACAUCAUUGGCCGCCAUCACAGUAACUUUCAGUCCAACAGGCGCUGACGGCAACUCUUGACACAAACAGUUAGCAUUAGCAAUUGAUGCUACAUGACAUUCACAAUAUGUCUGACAGUGGGUGGGGCCACUGGAGAGGCGGAGUUUGAGCUCACCCUCAUGAUGAUGGUAGCCUCACUCACCUUUGAUGUAUAUGGUUCCGGUUCUGGACACAGAGAUUCCACGAGCGUUCCUGGCUUCACAGUAGAACUUGACGGUGCUGUUGACACCUGCACCGUCAUGUGACCAUUUAAGUCCUCACAGUAGACAUUCUUAACAUCUCUAAAAUUUGUCUGUCUGCUCUCACCUGGGACCAGAAGGACCGAGGGGGAUGGUCUAGCAUUGCCCUCCUGGACUCCUGCUAGCCACCACAGAACCUCCACAGGCUCAGGCGGGCCAAUGGCGCCACAAGUCAGGUUGAAAGGCGUGCCCGGAAGUGUGGCCACGUCUUGCGGCUCCUGGAUGAAGUGCGGGACACCUGGAAAACAAAGAUAGCGGCGUUUUAAAACAAGAUUGCCUGCAAAACCGGACCGUGUUCUUGCUCCUCACCUUCGACUGUGAUCCAAGCCCGUUGGGAUGACAACGUCAACCCGUGGAAGUCCACCUCACACCAGUACUGACCUGCAUCCUGCUGCUGAACGGACUUCACACUUGAAGCAAGAACACAACAUUAGAAACUGGACUGGAACAAAGCCAAAAACAUGAAGUGCACUGGACCGGGUUCUAGUAGUGCCCCCCAGGCCCGCUUAACUCUGCCUCUUCAUAAUCCAAACACAUGUGUGUAUUUCCCAGAAGCCCCUGAGAGACUGAGCCUGGAUUCCAGUCGGAUCAGAACACAGCUUACAUUUCAGUUUGGUAAAGGAUAGUGGGAAGUUGAGUUUGUGAUUUGGAGUUAGCAAUACGACAACGACAUCCCUAACUCUGACCUACUGAAGUGAAAGCAGUAAAACAAACAAAUUGGAUUGGUUCAGGACUUCAAGUGUCUCAAUCCAGAGCAGUUUGUGCUCAAGAACACCUCAGCAGUACUCAAGAAGCCAGCUGGACUCUACAGGACACCGGUCAGUGGCUAAGGUGGACACCAGAUGAAAGGCAUGUGUGUCACGGUCUCAUCCUCCUUCUACGCACCUAUGGAAGGUCUCCCAGUGCUUCUCUCCCAGCAUGAUGAACAUCUGGUCAGUGGAAUGCCUCGCCCAUUGUGUCACAUGGCAGCAGUAUAAGAAGAGGACGACAAGGAGCAGGUCACUUUCAGGCAAACUUCUUCUUGGUGGCAGUGAAACGCUCCUGGUACUGAGGAGGGAAGACAUCACAGUCAUAUUGACUUUUCUGCUCUCUGAUUGGUUCUGACCUGGCAACCAACCUCUCCACUUCACGAUAUACAGUGCCAUUCAGAGGUGUACUCGCUGGAUUUUGGAUCACUGCCCUGCUGCAGAACGCAAGUUUGUUUCAGCUUGAGGUCACAAACAGAUGGCCAGACAUUCUCCUUCAAGAUCUUUUGGUAGACAGCAGAAUUCAUGGUGCCAUUUAUCACAAGAAGAGAGACACCUGAGACUCGCUCAGGAUGGACAGAGGGAUGGCUGCCAAGUCCAGACAGUUCUCCUCCACUCGCAGAACUUUCAGACGAGGGCAUCGUGACACUUCUGCUGAUAGAAUUGAAAUCUGAAAGACAAUCAUCACUUUGCUUCCAAUCAAUCACUCACUAAAUCAGUCUCCACUAAAGGUGUCACGAGACACCCAACUCACGAGACGAGGCAAUGCAUGAGAUUGUACCCACGAGAACGAGGCGAGAUUUUAACAUUAAUUUUAAGAAAAGUUUUAAGAAAAGUACAAUGAAAAAAUGUACGGCUGCACAAACAAACAUUUUUAUUUAACUACUUCACAAGACAAUGCAGGUGCAUGUUGAAAUGUUUAUUGUCCAACAAAUUGACCCUAAACGAUAUUAUUGUCAAUAUUUUUGAGACCAAUUAAACCACUGUUGUUAAUAAUAAUAAAUAACAAAUAAUAAUAUAUUAUUAAAGUAGAAUAAAGUUCACAAUGACAGUGACAACAUGGUCAUAAUAUGAUUCGAUGAGUCAAUGAAAAUCAGAAUAACAUUCAGAUUCAAAUUCAAAUAGGAGCAGCAUGGCCAGCACCAUAAUGUCAAUGCCUUAUCAAAAAAGCUACAAAUUAAUUAAAUGUAACAGUUCACUUCAAUACUGAUGUGCUCAUGUGUAUUGGGUUUAUCAAAAAAAAGGAGGAAAAAAAGGCUUCCAUUUGUUGAAAAAAUUGUUUUCAGAACCUUGGAAUGUCGGCGUCUCUGCCAGUUUCAACAAGUCAAAUUUAAAAGACAUUUUUACGACCAUAAUGAAUACUAUAAAAAACCAUUUCACAUCCAUACUGGCAAAAAAAAAUAGAAAAACAUGAAGGAAAAGUCAGCUGGGAUAGGCUCCAGCAUACCCCCGCGACCCUACUGAGGAAAAGCUGUAUAGAAAAUUACUUGCAAAUUAUUUGAAUUAAUUCACAGCUCUGUUACAUUGAAAUACAAAAUGCUUAACAUAAUUAAAAACAUCAGAAGCCUCUCUAUUAUGGAUAGCUAAAAUUUAUCGCUGUUGUAAUUUUGCUCCAUUGCUAUGAUCUGCUGUAACACACAGCAGCACGUGGGCAGUACACUAGCUAGCUGGUUGUGCUUGAUAAAUUCUGACCGGGCUGCACAGGUACUUUAGUAUCAUUAUGUUGUAGAACCCUCAAAAAUGUAAACAUUUAAAAGCAAGACUGAAGUUUUUGUAUUUUUUGCAGUUUUAAAUAAAAGUUACAUUAAUAUAUUUUUUAAGACCUUUCAAUAUCGUAUGUUUAAAUUGUACAAAAACACAUUUUAUGAGAUUUUAAGGCAAUUUUAGAUUUUAUACUGCACUCGUGCAAUACCUUAAACUGGAUCAGGGCGUGCUGACCACACAUUGAUGAUGAAUGCACCCCCUCCAGCACCUUGGUCCACGUUUCCUCAUCAAAUAUUAUUUGAAGAUCCUGUUCCCAUGCGCUUCUCAUUUUGGAAAGUGAAAGGGAGUCUUUUUGGAAAUUAAAACUACCAUAAGUCUGCAUGAGACACUGAUGUGCAAAUAUUCAUAUUUGUCUGUAUUAUAAAUGUAUUUUCUGAAUGAUUCCAGUCAUUUUUAACAUUUCCUUAAGUAAAACCGAUGAAUGUUCACAUUUCCUGACCAAAUACAGGGCAGAAAUCUAAGAUGAACCUGUCUCAAGUGUCUCUUCUCAGCUUAGUGAGCAAGCCUUAACCUACGACAAGCAAAAACUCAACCCUGAACCUCCGACAUCACUUCCUGUCCUGUACAUAUCUGUCCGCCUGCCACCAAGGUCCGCUAGGGAACAUAUUUACUGUGACACACACAAACAGGAGUUUUAUUUACGUCUUAAUUAUUAUGUCAACUAUAUUGGGUAAAACGAGUGUAAAGCCAUUUAAAGCCGCCAUUACAAUACAUCGAUCAGACAAUAGCCACCACACGAAGUACUCUGUCCACAAAAAAACAAGAAACUGCUCAAGUGUGAGUCUAUGUUAUUUUAUUUAUGUCUAAUGUGCCCUUACCUGGCACACGCUGGCUGCCGGCCCGCGCUGGAACACCUCCACCCCCCCUUUCUCCGUCCCCUGGUGCAAGCCUUCAAGUUCUUAUGUUGUAAAGUAUGCUUAUUUGUGCUUAUGUUGCCGAGGUUUUUUUUCCAGUCCCACAGUGUAUUCCCCCGAAAUAGCAUAGUUUGGAGUUGCUUUUUUCUCCUCCACUCUCCUCUUGUUCUCCCCUGUCCUCUCCCCAUCUUAUCGCCCAGUCACCCUGUCCUGCCUACCCCUCUGUCAUAUUGUAUGGUAUUUUGUAUAUGUAUGGACGGGUGAUUGCACAAUUUCACUUGUACCUCUGUAUAAGUGACGAGGUACCUCUGUAUAAGUGACGAGUAAAGGCCAUUCUCUCGCUCUUAUUUUCUCUAGUUAUAUCUACUAUACUGAGUAAUACGUAAAUGUCACUAUAUGGGUGUUAUUUCUUGCCUACAGGGCACAAUAAUGUUAAAAACUGUAUUUAGAAGAUUGUAAACAGAUUUUCUAUGCCAUAACUACAAAAAUAUUCCAAUAUUAUUACAAUAAAUGUAAUAAUUACUAGGAAUGUCCGAUAUUGGCUUUUUUACUGAAAACCGAUAUGCCAAUAUUGUCUAACUCUCAAGUUCCGAUUCCGAUAUCAACAAAUACUGAUAUGUGUAACAUAUCUUUUUCUUGAGUAAAAUUGUUGUAAAGUAACGAGUAAUGAGUACAGUUGUUUUGUUGGCUACUCCACCCAUCUCUGAGUAGAUAAUUCAUGUAUUACAAAUUUUAUAUAAGAAUACAAUUGUGUUUAUUUUCAAAACAGAUUUAUGUUAUUUUUGCAAAGAUUUAAUUCAUUUUUAGUUAAAUUGGUAUCGUUUAAAAUACAUGAAUCUGCUGAUUAUUAUUUUGAUUGAUAAAUUUCAUGUUCUUAUUUUAUAUUCUUA